rnacentral:rRNA from 1 species
GCUCCAAUAGCGUAUAUUAAAGUUGCUGCGGUUAAAACGCUCGUAGUUGAAUUGUGGUCUUAGACAACAGUCCCCCUAUAUAGGUGUGGCACGGUUGCUCGAGAUCUUCAUUCGUGGUUGCUGUUGUUGCUCUUCAUUGAGUGUCAAUGGUGCCUCGAGAUUUUACUUUGAAAAAAUUAGAGUGCUCAAAGCAGGUUGUGAUGCCUGAAUAAUGGUGCAUGGAAUAAUAGAAUACGAUCUCGGUUCUAUUUUGUUGGUUUUCGAACCGGAGAUAAUGAUUGAAAGGAACAGACGGGGGCAUUCGUAUUGCUGCGUUAGAGGUGAAAUUCUUGGAUCGCAGCAAGAUGAACAAUUAAGGCGAUCAGAUACCGCCCUAGUUCUAACGGUAAACUAUGCCAACCAGCGAUUCGCCGAAGUUCAUUUAAGACUCGGCGAGCAGCUUCCGGGAAACCAAAGUGUUUCGGUUCCGGGGGAAGUAUGGUUGCAAAGCUGAAACUUAAAGGAAUUGACGGAAGGGCACCACCAGGAGUGGAGCCUGCGGCUUAAUUUGACCCAACACGGGAAAACUCACCCGGCCCGGACACUGAAAGGAUUGACAGAUUGACAGCUCUUUCUUGAUUCAGUGGGUAGUGGUGCAUGGCCGUUCUUAGUUGGUGGAGCGAUUUGUCUGGUUAAUUCCGAUAACGAACGAGACUCUACCCUAUUAAAUAGUGACAGUAUUGCAUAUUCUGUGCUGAUCACUUCUUAGAGGGACUGGCAAAUUGAAAGCUGCACGAAAAAGAGCAAUAACAGGUCUGUGAUGCCCUUCGAUGUCCGGGGCUGCACGCGCGCUACAAUGAAAGCGUCAACGUGAGUUACGUCCUUACCUGAAAAGGUUUGGCAAUCGAUUGAAACGUUUUCUUGAAUGGAAUAGGGAAUUGCAAUUGUUUCCCUUGAACGAGGAAUUCCCAGUAAGCGUGAGUCAUUAGCUCGCGUUGAUUACGUCCCUGCCCUUUGUACACACCGCCCGUCGCUACUACCGAUUGGAUGGUUUAGUGAGGCCCUCGGAUCGGCCCCGCCGGGGUCGGCCCACGGCCCUGGCGGAGCGCUGAGAAGACGGUCGAACUUGACUAUCUAGAGGAAGUAAAAGUCGUAACAAGGUUUCCGUAGGUGAACCUGCGGAAG